rfam:Triticum urartu cultivar G1812 contig491719, whole genome shotgun sequence.
UUUCUACUCCCUCCGUUCCGAAUUACUUGUCCUAGAUAUGGAUGUAUCUAGAUGUAUUUUAGUUCUAGAUACAUCCAAUCCUGCGACGAGUAAUUUGAAACAGAGGGAGUACCCC